GAUGAACGCUAGCGGCAGGCUUAAUACAUGCAAGUCGAGGGGCAGCGCGGGUAGCAAUACCUGGCGGCGACCGGCAAACGGGUGCGGAACACGUACGCAACCUUCCCGAAACUGGUGAAUAGCCCUCCGAAAGGAGGAUUAAUACACCGUAAGAUAACGAAGAGGCAUCUCUUUGUUAUUAUAGCUACGGCGGUUUUGGAUGGGCGUGCGCCUGAUUAGGUAGUUGGCGGGGUAACGGCCCACCAAGCCUACGAUCAGUAACUGGUGUGAGAGCACGACCAGUCACACGGGCACUGAGACACGGGCCCGACUCCUACGGGAGGCAGCAGUAAGGAAUAUUGGUCAAUGGACGCAAGUCUGAACCAGCCAUGCCGCGUGAAGGAUGAAGGUCCUCUGGAUUGUAAACUUCUUUUAUAUGGGACGAAAAAGGGUUUUCUAACUCACUUGACGGUACCAUAGGAAUAAGCACCGGCUAACUACGUGCCAGCAGCCGCGGUAAUUCUCG
rnacentral:rRNA from 1 species